GCAAGAGAGAGAAAGAGAGUGAGAAAUCAAAAGUUUAAAUUGAAUGAAAAAAAAGGAAUAUAUCAAUGGCUCCUCCCUCGAUUUUUUUCACUUAUUGUUUGUCGAGAUACUCAUCUUCCUCUUCCUCCUCCUCACAGUCAUCUCGUCUCUCACAGGCACAGUGACUGACCCCAACAGCAAGAGAGAGAAAGAGAGUGGCGUUUUUGCUCAAGCAAUUGAAUCGAUUUCUCUGCUUUUUAUAUUUCUAUAAUUUAGGGUUUCUCUCCAGUUUGAGGAGUGGAGUGCCUUUCUUUCUUUCUUUCUUUUGUUUUAGGGUUUCAUUAUUUGGAUCGAAUUAUAAUUGAAGGUGGAGAGAGAGAGAGAGAGA
rnacentral:misc_RNA from 1 species